CAGUAGCCGCGGUAAUACGAAGGGGGCUAGCGUUGUUCGGAAUUACUGGGCGUAAAGCGCACGUAGGCGGACUUUUAAGUCAGGGGUGAAAUCCCGGGGCUCAACCUCGGAACUGCCUUUGAUACUGGAAGUCUUGAGUGUGGAAGAGGUAAGUGGAAUUGCGAGUGUAGAGGUGAAAUUCGUAGAUAUUCGCAGGAACACCAGUGGCGAAGGCGGCUUACUGGUCCACAACUGACGCUGAGGUGCGAAAGCGUGGGGAGCAAACAGGAUUAGAUACCCCUGUAGUCCCUGUCUCUUAUAC
rnacentral:rRNA from 1 species